AGUGAACGCUGGCGGUAGGCCUAACACAUGCAAGUCGAACGGCAGCACAGUAAGAGCUUGCUCUUACGGGUGGCGAGUGGCGGACGGGUGAGGAAUACAUCGGAAUCUACUUUUUCGUGGGGGAUAACGUAGGGAAACUUACGCUAAUACCGCAUACGACCUACGGUUGAAAGCAGGGGAUCUUCGGACCUUGCGCGAUUGAAUGAGCCGAUGUCGGAUUAGCUAGUUGGCGGGGUAAAGGCCCACCAAGGCGACGAUCCGUAGCUGGUCUGAGAGGAUGAUCAGCCACACUGGAAGUGAGACACGGUCCAGACUCCUACGGGAGGCAGCAGUGGGGAAUAGUGGACAAUGGGCGCAAGCCUGAUCCAGCCAUACCGCGUGGGUGAAGAAGGCCUUCGGGUUGUAAAGCCCUUUUGUUGGGAAAGAAAAGCAGCAGGUUAAUACCCCGCUGUUCUGACGGUACCCAAAGAAUAAGCACCGGCUAACUUCGUG
rnacentral:rRNA from 1 species